rnacentral:lncRNA from 1 species
AUGCUAACUGAAGGAAGAACUAUACUUCACAACUCUUCGUACUUCAAAGUGACUGGCGGAAAACUUAGAUGUCCUCACCUGAGUUUCAUUCAUCCUCACUUACUUCACAUCCUGAUCCUCAAGUCUGACUUUUGCCAAAAAUCAGAAUGGACCCUGCUUCCUGCUUCCAAAGAUGUUCAUCAACAAAAAUCAUCAAUACCCAAAAAAAAAUCAUCAAUACCCCAUUUAUUUAGCAUUUCCUGUGCACUUGGUAGUGUGGUGAACACUUUAAAAAUAAGUGAGUUAAACCUCCCAAGAAGUCUAUGAAGUAGAUAUCACUGUUCACAUCUGCCCCUUGGCCUUUCCCUUGCAUUGAAACAAGACUUUUAUCUUGGUGCUCACAAUUUAGUGAUAGAGUUUGAGAAGUAAGCAGCCAAGAACAGCACAGAUAGUACAAAGUAUUGACCUUGAUCUCACAUCUUAAUGAUUUAAUGGGACAAAAAUUUAUGCCAUUAUUUAAAUUUAAUUCACUGAAGUUAUGUAGUGCUUAAUAAUUUCUCAGAUGGUGUUGCCUAUAUAAUCUUCCCCAAUCUUCACAGUAACAUUGAGAAGUAAAUAUUGUUAUGACCCCAUUUUCACAGACCAGGGAAGGAGACUCAUAGAUGUUAAGCAACCUACACAAAAACCUAUUAGCAAAUGGCAACUGUAAGAGGUGUCUUACAGGUGAAGGUGGUGUCCCUUCAGAUCCAUGCACUUUGAAUAAUAUAGUGACUCUAUAUAACUAUAUAUACUAACUGUAUAGAUAGUUACCUAUGUAACUAGAUUAACACACACACAUGGUAGCAUGUGUUGUAGUGGUCAAGGCCAAGACGAGCCACUUUGGCAUGAACACUAUUUUGAGCUGAAGGCAAUCAGGAUCCUGCAGGCUCAAGAAAAACUUUUGCCCCUCCCUUAACUACUUAGUAGAAUCUAAAUUGGGCAUCUUUCUCAGAAUAAGAGUUAUUGGCAAAGAUAAUUUUUAUGUAAGUGACCCAUUUGUAUGGCAAGGUAACAUCCAAUUACUGAACAUAUGCUUUUCUUAUUGCCCUGUAAAUUGCAUUCAUUUCCUCUAAAUUGCCUGACCCCACCCUCUUUUCCUUAAUUCAGGAUGAUGUAUAUACCUCAUUUUGCCUAACUAGCUUUGGAAUUUUCAUGUCUUUGUGGAUUCCCCAUGCAUAUGCUAUUAAAUUUGAUUUUCU